rnacentral:rRNA from 1 species
AUUGAACGCUGGCGGCAGGCCUAACACAUGCAAGUCGAGCGAGUGGCGGACGGGUGAGUAAUGUCUGGGAAACUGCCUGAUGGCGGGGGAUAACUACUGGAAACGGUAGCUAAUACCGCAUACUAUCGGAUGUGCCCAUAUGGGAUUAGCUAGUAGGUGGGGUAAAGGCUCACCUAGGCGACGAUCCCUAGCUGGUCUGAGAGGAUGAUCAGCCACACUGGAACUGAGACACGGUCCAGACGCCUACGGGAGGCAGCAGUGGGGAAUAUUGCACAAUGGGCGCAAGCCUGAUGCAGCCAUGCCGCGUGUAUGAAGAAGGCCUUCGGGUUGUAAAGUACUUUCAGCGGGGAGGCGUUACCGACAGAGGAAGCACCGGCUAACUCCGUGCCAGCAGCCGCGGUAAUAC